rnacentral:rRNA from 1 species
UUGGAAGUAAAAAGGUUGUAACAAGGUUUCCGUAGGUGAACCUGCGGAAGGAUCAUUAAAGGGAACGCUGGUCCAACCAGCAUCCUCCAACCCAAUGUGUACCCGCCUUGUUGCCUCGGCGUGCCUGCGUCGUCCGUGGCGCUGCCGGCUCCGGCUGGAUAGCGCACGCCAGAGGAAUUGUAAACUCCAGCUUCAACGAGUGCAGUCUGAGCUUUAAUCAAAUAAGUUAAAACUUUCAACAACGGAUCUCUUGGUUCUGGCAUCGAUGAAGAACGCAGCGAAAUGCGAUAAGUAAUGUGAAUUGCAGAAUUCAGUGAAUCAUCGAAUCUUUGAACGCACAUUGCGCCCUUCGGUAUUCCGAGGGGCAUGCCUGUUCGAGCGUCAUUUCAAACCUCAAGCUCUGCUUGGUAUUGGGUCCGGCCCCCGGUCUCGGGCGGCCGUCCUGAAAGUCAGCGGCGAGGCUGUCCAGCUUCAGGCGUAGUAGAACCUUUCGUCUCGCCUUGCGAGCCUGGGCUGCCCUCGCCGGAUAACCUUCAUCCACAAGGUUGACCUCGGAUCAGGUAGGAUACCCGCUGA